GAUUUCAACUAAAAAAGUCAUCAACAACAAAGUUGUAUAACUCAUCAAGACCUAUAACUUUUAUUUUUAUCAUUUCUUCAUCUAAUAAAAUGUUAGUAAUAUUGUUCACAGAAUUUACAUGUCUAUGUUAUAGUUUAUUAACCAAAAGAGAGAUAUGUGAAUUUUAUGAACAAUGUUACUAUCACUUUGUCGGAUGAAGAAAUGACCAAAAUAAAAGUUAUAGGUCUUGAUGAGUUAUACAACUUUGUUGUUGAUGACUUUUUCAGUUAAAAUC
rfam:Oryza glumipatula chromosome 11, whole genome shotgun sequence.